rnacentral:rRNA from 1 species
CCCUUAGAUGUUCUGGGCCGCACGCGCGCUACACUGAUGCAUUCAACGAGCCUAUCCUUGACCGACAGGUCCGGGUAAUCUUUGAAUCUGCAUCGUGACGGGGAUAGAUUAUUGCAAUUAUUAAUCUUCAACGAGGAAUGCCUAGUAAGCGCAAGUCAUCAGCUUGCGUUGAUUACGUCCCUGCCCUUUGUACACACCGCCCGUCGCUCCUACCGAUUGAAUGGUCCGGUGAAGCGUUCGGACCGUGGCCUUUGGACGGUUCGCCGUCUGUUGGCUGCGGGAAGUUCGUUAAACCUUAUCAUUUAGAGGAAGGAGAAGUCGUAACA